rnacentral:tRNA from 1 species
CAAAGCGUAGCUUAUUAUAAAGCACCUGGCUUACACCCAGAAGAUUCCACACAAAGUGGCCACUUUGA